AAAGCUUUAAGUUAAUAAACUAUUAACCUUCAAAGUUAAAAUUACAGGCCUUUCUGUAAGCUUUA
rnacentral:tRNA from 1 species